GUUGGGUGUGGUGACACAUGCCUGUAAUCCCAGAGGCUUGGGAGGCUGAGGCAGGAGGAUUGAGAGUUCAAAGCCAGCCUCAGCAGCGUAGUGAGAUCCUGCCUCUA
rnacentral:sRNA from 1 species